rnacentral:sRNA from 1 species
GCACCAUCGCCGCUGGGCAACGAUGUUGC